CGGCGCCGUCGAGCGGUAGUUCCGCUCGAGGCGGAUCGUCUUCGCCCCGGGGAAGUCCUGCUCGAAAUCCAGGAUGUUCGAGACGUCGGCGCCGC
rnacentral:tRNA from 1 species